GGAUGACUUGUGGCUGGGGGUGAAAGGCCAAUCAAACCGGGAGAUAGCUGGUUCUCCCCGAAAGCUAUUUAGGUAGCGCCUCGUGAACUCAUCUUCGGGGGUAGAGCACUGUUUCGGCUAGGGGGUCAUCCCGACUUACCAACCCGAUGCAAACUACGAAUACCGAAGAAUGUUAUCACGGGAGACACACGGCGGGUGCUAACGUCCGUCGUGAAGAGGGAAACAACCCAGACCGCCAGCUAAGGUCCCAAAGUCAUGGUUAAGUGGGAAACGAUGUGGGAAGGCACAGACAGCCAGGAUGUUGGCUUAGAAGCAGCCAUCAUUUAAAGAAAGCGUAAUAGCUCACUGGUCGAGUCGGCCUGCGCGGAAGAUGUAACGGGGCUAAACCAUGCACCGAAGCUGCGGCAGCGACACUAUGUGUUGUUGGGUAGGGGAGCGUUCUGUAAGCCUGCGAAGGUGACCUGUGAGGGUUGCUGGAGGUAUCAGAAGUGCGAAUGCUGACAUAAGUAACGAUAAAGCG
rnacentral:rRNA from 1 species